rnacentral:pre_miRNA from 1 species
AGCUGCAUUUGCAGCGGUAUAGAGCUGCGUUUGCAGCGACUGUAGAGCUACGUUUGCGGCGGUAUGGAACUGCGUUUGCAGCGGUAUGGAGCUGUGGAUGCAGUGGCCGAAGAGCUGCGUUUGUAGCGAUAUGGAGCUACGUUGGCAGCGGCUGUAGAGCUGCGUUUGCAGCG